AGUUAUUAAGCUUUAGAAAGCAUAUGUUUUGAAAACAUAAGAAAGAAGUUCAAUUCUUCUAUUAACUU
rnacentral:tRNA from 1 species